AAAAAAAUAAGCUAAUCAAGCUAAUAGGUUCAUACCCUMUUUAUAAAGGUACAAAUCCUUUUUUUUUUG
rnacentral:tRNA from 1 species